rnacentral:rRNA from 1 species
AGAGUUUGAUCCUGGCUCAGGAUGAACGCUGGCGGCGUGCCUAAUACAUGCAAGUCGAGCGAACGGACGAGAAGCUUGCUUCUCUGAUGUUAGCGGCGGACGGGUGAGUAACACGUGGAUAACCUACCUAUAAGACUGGGAUAACUUCGGGAAACCGGAGCUAAUACCGGAUAAUAUUUUGAACCGCAUGGUUCAAAAGUGAAAGACGGUCUUGCUGUCACUUAUAGAUGGAUCCGCGCUGCAUUAGCUAGUUGGUAAGGUAACGGCUUACCAAGGCAACGAUGCAUAGCCGACCUGAGAGGGUGAUCGGCCACACUGGAACUGAGACACGGUCCAGACUCCUACGGGAGGCAGCAGUAGGGAAUCUUCCGCAAUGGGCGAAAGCCUGACGGAGCAACGCCGCGUGAGUGAUGAAGGUCUUCGGAUCGUAAAACUCUGUUAUUAGGGAAGAACAUAUGUGUAAGUAACUGUGCACAUCUUGACGGUACCUAAUCAGAAAGCCACGGCUAACUACGUGCCAGCAGCCGCGGUAAUACGUAGGUGGCAAGCGUUAUCCGGAAUUAUUGGGCGUAAAGCGCGCGUAGGCGGUUUUUUAAGUCUGAUGUGAAAGCCCACGGCUCAACCGUGGAGGGUCAUUGGAAACUGGAAAACUUGAGUGCAGAAGAGGAAAGUGGAAUUCCAUGUGUAGCGGUGAAAUGCGCAGAGAUAUGGAGGAACACCAGUGGCGAAGGCGACUUUCUGGUCUGUAACUGACGCUGAUGUGCGAAAGCGUGGGGAUCAAACAGGAUUAGAUACCCUGGUAGUCCACGCCGUAAACGAUGAGUGCUAAGUGUUAGGGGGUUUCCGCCCCUUAGUGCUGCAGCUAACGCAUUAAGCACUCCGCCUGGGGAGUACGACCGCAAGGUUGAAACUCAAAGGAAUUGACGGGGACCCGCACAAGCGGUGGAGCAUGUGGUUUAAUUCGAAGCAACGCGAAGAACCUUACCAAAUCUUGACAUCCUUUGACAACUCUAGAGAUAGAGCCUUCCCCUUCGGGGGACAAAGUGACAGGUGGUGCAUGGUUGUCGUCAGCUCGUGUCGUGAGAUGUUGGGUUAAGUCCCGCAACGAGCGCAACCCUUAAGCUUAGUUGCCAUCAUUAAGUUGGGCACUCUAAGUUGACUGCCGGUGACAAACCGGAGGAAGGUGGGGAUGACGUCAAAUCAUCAUGCCCCUUAUGAUUUGGGCUACACACGUGCUACAAUGGACAAUACAAAGGGCAGCGAAACCGCGAGGUCAAGCAAAUCCCAUAAAGUUGUUCUCAGUUCGGAUUGUAGUCUGCAACUCGACUACAUGAAGCUGGAAUCGCUAGUAAUCGUAGAUCAGCAUGCUACGGUGAAUGCGUUCCCGGGUCUUGUACACACCGCCCGUCACACCACGAGAGUUUGUAACACCCGAAGCCGGUGGAGUAACCUUUUAGGAGCUAGCCGUCGAAGGUGGGACAAAUGAUUGGGGUGAAGUCGUAACAAGGUAGCCGUAUCGGAAGGUGCGGCUGGAUCACCU